rnacentral:rRNA from 1 species
GAUGAACGCUGGCGGUAUGCUUAACACAUGCAAGUCGAACGGACUCUUCGGAGUUAGUGGCGGACGGGUGAGUAACGCGUGAGAAUCUGGCCUUGGGUUCGGGACAACCACUGGAAACGGUGGCUAAUACCGGAUGUGCCGAGAGGUAAAAGAGAAAUUGCCUGAAGAUGAGUCCGCGUCUGAUUAGCUAGUUGGUGAGGUAAAGGCUCACCAAGGCAGCGAUCAGUAGCUGUUCUGAGAGGACGACCAGCCACACUGGGACUGAGACACGGCCCAGACUCCUACGGGAGGCAGCGGUGGGGAAUGUUCCGCAAUGGGCGAAAGCCUGACGGAGCAAUACCGCGUGAGGGAAGAAGGCUCUUGGGUUGUAAACCUCUUUUCUUAGGGAAGAACAAAAUGACGGUACCUAAGGAAUCAGCAUCGGCUAACUCCGUG